GGGGCCGUAGAUUAGUCUGGAGAAUCGUUCGCUUGGCAUGCGAAAGACCACGGGUUCAAAUCCCGUCGGCUCCA
rnacentral:tRNA from 1 species